GAUGAAGAACGUAGCGAAAUGCGAUACUUGGUGUGAAUUGCAGAAUCCCGUGAACCAUCGAGUCUUUGAACGCAAGUUGCGCCCGAAGCCAUUAGGCCGAGGGCACGCCUGCCUGGGUGUCACACGUCGUUGCCCCCCCAUCUACUCCUUCGGGAUUGCGGGGGGCGGAUGAUGGCCUCCCGUGCGCCUCGUCGCGCGGUUGGCAUAAAUGCCAAGUCCUCGGCGACGCACGCCACGACAAUCGGUGGUUGCGAAACCUCGGUUGCCCGUCGUGUGCGGUCGUCGCGCAUCGAGGGCUCGAAAAAAUUGCCGGGCUCCGGCUCGGCUUUCAACGCGACCCCAGGUCAGGCGGGGUUACCCGCUGAAUUUAAGCAUAUCAUAAGCGGAGG
rnacentral:misc_RNA from 1 species